CAAUGGUAUCACAGGGUUGUAUAAAAGCUGGCAUACAAAAUAUAUUUAUUGAUCAAACUUUCAUAUGAGAACUAUUGCAUUUGCCUAUGUAAGUACAUUUUUAGUCAUUUAUAAUUAAGAAUUAAAUGUUAAUAUUUUACUAUUGUUAUAGUUCGUUCUUAUAUUGUACUUAUCCACCACUGUCCCAGUUUAGGGGAGGGUUAAGAUCCUGCUAAUAUUUUUAACCUUACCACAUGCUGAAUGUAUUUUUUCCAGAAUCCGGAGCUUGUAAUUCAUUGAAUGUCGUUUUUUUUGUGUUCAAUUGUUGCUUUUCGUUCAUGUUUUGUACAUUAACUAUGCCGUUAGUUUUCUCGUUUAAAAAGUUUUACAUUUGUCAUUGUCCUUUAUAGCUGAUCAUUCGGUAUGGGCUUUGCUAAUUGCUGAAGUCGGUUCGGUGAUCUAAAUUUGUUUAUUUUUGUGUCAUUUCGUCUCUUGUGGAGAGCUGUCUCAUUGGCAACAAUUCAAAUGAGAAAAAUGACGGCCUAAUUUAUGUACAAAAAAAGCGUGAAAAACAAAUACUUAAGACAUCAACAAACGACAACCACUGAGUGACAAGCUCCUGGGGUUGGACAGGCACAUACUUGAAGAAAGUUCUUAGUCUGCUUGUAGAUGUUAUUAUAGGAAACUUAUUUUGGUUAACAAUUUAAAAAUCAGUAUUAGGUUAACAAACAGCGGAAUGCAAUCGACUUGCAUUCGUCGGAAUAGUAUACAUAUUGUGUCAAAGAGGUCUUUUGCCGAUAGUUUUGUCUAAGCACGUGACAGUAAGAAUUUUCUUAGAACAAUUAUUUUUUUAUUUAAGAUGGUACCCAACACUUUCACUAAAAUUAAUUUGGCUCGUUUAAUGUUCAUUAAAUUUUGACAAAUUAUUUACUUUGACCCUUUGACAAAAAUAUAGAAAUUUCAAAAAUAUUGAACCAACCGCUUUAUCAGAAAAAAUACACUGGUUAUAUAGCAGUUUCACAAACACUUACUUUGAUCAUUGAGAAACUUAAUAUUCCCUUGAAACACAACGUUAUUAAAACGUUUAGAAGAUUUUACACAGUUAUCUCCCUGUAGUAUUAGGUACCACCUUAAAACAAAAAAGGAAAUCAAAGUUGUAUCGCAAAAAGACAAAAAUAAUUGGUUAAGAAGUUACACUGCAGAACGCUAUAGGACAAUUUUUGCUAAUAUAAUAUACUCUUUUAUCAUUUACAUACUGUCUAACUGAUUUGUAUAUGAUGUAUAUCUUUUGUAGUAUCUAGCACAAAAUUAACUAGAAGCAUGAAGGUGUUUGUUUGUUUGGUAGCUUGUAUGUUAUUAAUGUCUAUUGGAGGUAAGAAAAUAACGAGAACGCCAUGUUAACAUGUACGUUUAAGUGAUACUGGUAAACAUAGUUUUAUUGUACUUUUUUCCGAUGUACCAAGAUAAAAAGAAACUAAAUACUUACACAUAAAAAGCAAGGAAUCUUUGUUUUCAUCAAUUUUCCAUCAGAAAUACUUAUAUGGGUUGACAGCUAUCUGUUCUGUUUUCACAGCUGAACCAUAACACACUUAGGUUCAUUUGUUAUCUAGAUAUUUCCAACAACAUUUAAUAGAUGCAAAAAAAAAAGCUGUCAGUUUAAGAAAAAAAAACAUUUUUAAAAGUAAUGAAGACAGUACGUUGGUGUACUGAUGUGUGUAGUAUAGUGUUUUGUUUUAGAUUGAUGUCUAUUAACGUGUACAUAAAAUCAUCAUCUAUUUUUAUUCAAAUUUUAAUAUUGAAACUUACAGUUCUUUUUUAGUAAUGAUUUUUUUUGAAAUGAAAACGAUAAUGCUUUUGAUCUUCAAACCAAUUUUUUUGGCAAUUUAUACUUAAAAUAAUAUCAAAAUAACACUGCGAUUGUUUAUAAUUGUUUAUAUUUUGUCUGUUUAUUUUUAAUUUUAAAUGGAUCAUAAUUAGAAAUUACCGUAACCUAAUCUGAACAGUUACAGUUCCUAAUUUACGACUGGUGUAUGUGCAUGAUGAAACAUGCAAACAUGAUCGCGAGAUACAAAUAUAAACACUAUGUUUACUUGUAGUUAGCAUGGCUAAUGACGAAAUGAUGGAAGACAAUGGACUUAUUCAUGAGUAAGUCGGAUAAACCACAAGUGAAUGUUUUUAUUGUUAGAUUCAAUCAAGUGUAAUUAUUUCAGUCUGUCUCAAACGUUUAGCGAGUUUGUUCAAUUUAUUGAUUUUAUUAGAAAUUAUAAGAUAUCAAAGACCAGUGUCCCUUUAACAAAAUGUCAAUUGAAAAUAUGAAAGUAUAAAGGAAUCCGGGUUGUAUCACAGAUAAUUGUAUAUUUCAAAUAGAAAAAGCACAACACUAUACUGUUAAAACCUACCACAACACAUAUGGUGACCAAUGUAUAUCAGACGAGAAAUAACCAAAAAUGCAAAGCUGAUGUAUAAUAAUAGACUAUUCUCUAUGGCAAUAAAUAAAUUAGGAAUGUAUUACUGUGAAACUGUUACACUUUAUAAUUUUGAAAUGAUUCAUGCCUGUAGUUUGCAUCUAUCAUUGUAUCAUGUUGUCAAGUAGCAUUUCACAUUUAUGAUGCAAAAUCAAAGAGAACGUUUGUUUUUGGAAACAUUCACAACCCGCUGUAACUAUAAAUUAAGAUGUUUGACAGUAAUAGUAUGAUAUUCAGCAUCGAAGUUUCAACAUGGGAAAUAAACAUUUAUCAAACUAAAAUAAACACAGUGUUAAUUAAAUCAGACGUGCUGAUGAACUUGCGUAAGGUUUAACUUAUCCAACACUAUCGCUUACAAAUAUGAGUUAAGAAAUUCCUACCCCAAGUAAGGUGUGUCUACCGAACAUACACAAUAAGAUCACUCAAACCAACAAAUUAAAUGUAAGGUACUUAAGGCAUUUUUUUAUCGAAAAAAAGUUAUCAAUGCAUCUUGUUUCAGACGUGUAAAAAGAGCUCCGUGUUGGCAAAGAAGAUGUACUUUUAACUUCCAGUGCUGUUAUGGCUAUACCUGUUCAUACAGAAGAUGUGUUCGUAAGAGAGGCUAGUUAAUGCGAUUGUCAAUUCUUUACACGUCCUAGCACGCAUACAAGAUCCAUUAGAGAUAUUGUUACUUUAAAUAUUAGACUUGUGUAAAGAAUAAACUGAAAACUUA
rnacentral:lncRNA from 1 species